AGAAGGACAAAUAAUAAAUAAAUGUAUAAUAUUUAAUAGAAAUAUUAUAAGUGCAUUAUUUAUGCAAAUUUCAUAUUGCGAUAAAUACUUACAUUAACUAAGGUACAAUUUGUUAAAAUCCUUUCUAAAGGCAUGUUAAAUCGAUACUCACAUCUAUCUAAGUUUGAAGUCUCUUUUCCGCAAUUUUGAUUAGUUCUGUCAUUGCGCUUACUUCGCGAGUAGCUGUCAUUGCAUAUUUUAACAGUUGUGUGUAUUGAGGUUGAUAGAAUGUAUAGCAAAUAUAAUAAAAAGUGAAAAAUGUUAAAUAGUGCGCGCGAAGCGUGCUGUACUGCUGGUAUUAUUAAAACUAUGUAUAUUAAAAAAGUUAUAUUAAAACUAUAACUAUGUAUUUAUUAUAAAACUAGUGAGAUAAAAGGAUAAACAUUGAUUUAACUGCAAUCAUGAUAAUAAAAAACACAAAAAAGUCAAGAAUGAUGAUCACAAAACGGACAUUAAAUAUUUGAAGUUAUGAUAAAUAUAAACCGAACAAUUGAUCUGAAUCGAAGGUUAAAUGAGAGCCGUAGUACAUGGAAAAAUCUAAACUGGUUAGAGAAUCCUAUUUCUGUAAUUAAGAUUGUGAGUUGCGGAUGUAUAUAUUCAUAUUAUAGGUAUAUCAUAGUAAUCUUUUCUAAGAAGCGUGAGAUUAAACGAAAAAUUAUCGCAAAGAAAUAGAAGGCAACAUACGCAUCUAUCCAUCUACCGGUGUUCUCACCUGUUCUUGCGAUAUCUUACGUAAUAACGCGUGUGCAUACUCGCUUUAAUUUGCAUUCCAAAUGCAACCGGAAAGAACGAGCGUCGCAAUAGUACUGUUAAGUAUAAAAAGAGAAUUCAAGAGCGGAUCGGUCAAAUCGAGAAUCUAACUAAUACAUGUGUGAAUUAACAUUGAUAUAAUAAUUAUGUCAAAAAUAAAGAGUAACUUUUUUUAUA